rnacentral:rRNA from 1 species
UACAGGGGGGGCAAGCGUUGUUCGGAAUUACUGGGCGUAAAGGGUUCGUAGGUGGCCACUUAAGUCAGACGUGAAAUCCCUCAGCUUAACUGGGGAACUGCGUCUGAUACUGAGUGGCUUGAGUGCAGGAGAGGGAUGCGGAAUUCCAGGUGUAGCGGUGAAAUGCGCAGAUAUCAGGAGGAACACCGGUGGCGAAGGCGGGUCUCUGGGCCGAUACUGACGCUGAGGUGCGAAAGCGUGGGGAGCAAACAGG